rnacentral:rRNA from 1 species
UUUGCCCUACGGGGCGCAGCAGUAGGGAACCUUCCACAAUGGGCGAAAGCCUGAUGGAGCAACGCCGCGUGUGUGAUGAAGGGUUUCGGCUCGUAAAACACUGUUGUAAGAGAAGAAUGACAUUGAGAGUAACUGUUCAAUGUGUGACGGUAUCUUACCAGAAAGGAACGGCUAAAUACGUGCCAGCAGCCGCGGUAAUACGGAUGUUCCAAGCGUUAUCCGGAUUUAUUGGGCGUAAAGCGAGCGCAGACGGGUAUUUAAGUCUGAAGUGAAAGCCCUCAGCU